CGGGACGGGUGAGUAAUGUCUGGGAAACUGCCUGAUGGAGGGGGAUAACUACUGGAAACGGUAGCUAAUACCGCAUAACGUCGCAAGACCAAAGAGGGGACCUUCGGGCCUCUUGCCAUCGGAUGUGCCCAGAUGGGAUUAGCUAGUAGGUGGGGUAACGGCUCACCUAGGCGACGAUCCCUAGCUGGUCUGAGAGGAUGACCAGCCACACUGGAACUGAGACACGGUCCAG
rnacentral:rRNA from 1 species